UACGUAGGGUGCAAGCGUUGUCCGGAAUUAUUGGGCGUAAAGAGCUCGUAGGCGGUUUGUCGCGUCUGCUGUGAAAACUCGGGCUUAACCCCGGGCCUGCAGUGGGUACGGGCAGACUAGAGUGCGGUAGGGGAGACUGGAAUUCCUGGUGUAGCGGUGAAAUGCGCAGAUAUCAGGAGGAACACCGGUGGCGAAGGCGGGUCUCUGGGCCGUAACUGACGCUGAGGAGCGAAAGCAUGGGGAGCGAACAGG
rnacentral:rRNA from 1 species